rnacentral:lncRNA from 12 species
CUGAAAGUCAGUGUAAAAGAGUUCCAGUAUGUUCAUUUGUUAAGUGUGAGACUUUAAGAGACCAAGACAGAAAAUAAACCAACUUGAAAACACAGAGUUUGUAGUGCUUGUGCAGCACGGUACUUCAACACAGGUAUGUUCACCUCUACGAGAUGGUUCUCAGAGCGAGAGUCCACAUUUAGAGUUCAUAGAUCGUCACUUGGUAGGUAGCAUAGAUAUUUACCAAGUAAUUAAUAUUUACCAGAUACUAAGGACUUAGCAUAUACUGUUGUAUUAAAUUCUCCAGACAGCCCUUUGAACCAAACACUGAUGUUAUCCCCACUUAAUCCUUAACUUAAUUUCUUUAUAAAAGUGCUGGGCACCCAAAAACUGAGUUAUUAUUUCCCACAAAGUGUAGGUUGUACAUAUGAACACUCAGACUAAGAUACGGAGGUAGGCUUCAGAGAAGAUUUUACAUCUGAGCUGUGUCUUGAAGAAUGAGUGGGAUUUGCACAGACAAGGCAUGAUAGAAAGGAUAUUUGGGGAUGUAAGACCAAUCUGUACCAAAAAAUCCAAUGAACUCACAAUUGAAUGAUUUACUCAGACACCAACAUGGCAAAUCUGUGGCUAGAGAGCAUGUGAGAAGGUGUCUGAUGACUAGGAAAGUCACUCUGGGCUUCUUGUGCGUGGGCUUGAAUAUGCCAACCGUCCGGACCUCAUUCUCCAGGUGAUGGGGAGCUGAAAUGGGGGAUGCUGUGACUCUGUGGCAGCAGUGCGAAUGAUCCAACGGAAAGGAAUCAGAGACAGGAACACGAGUUCCUCUGAAGAUACAAACUCAUCCAUCAGCCCAACGCAUGUUUUACGACCUAUAAACAUCGUUAAACGACGCCAUUCGACACCUGUGGGGGCGGAAAUCGCUGCUUUGGGAAAGGUCCUCUCGGCGGCAGGGGUGCUGCCCUGCAGGUGGGGCCCGCAGCUCCAGGCCGCCCGCCGCCGCCCCUCCCGCUCAGGUGGGACGCCUGCGCGGGGCCAGGUGAGCUUCCGAGGUGGCCAGGUGAGCUUCUGCCGCGGCCAGGUGAGCUUCCGAGGUGGCCGGGUGAGCUUCCAAGGUGGCUGGGUGAGCUUCCAAGGUGGCCAGGUGAGCUUCCGAGGUGGCCGG